UACGGAGGGGGGCUAGCGUUGUUCGGAAUUACUGGGCGUAAAGCGCGCGUAGGCGGCUUUUGUAAGUUAGAGGUGAAAGCCCGGAGCUCAACUCCGGAACUGCCUUUAAGACUGCAUCGCUAGAAUUGUGGAGAGGUAAGUGGAAUUCCGAGUGUAGAGGUGAAAAUUCGUAGAUAUUCGGAAGAACACCAGUGGCGAAGGCGGCCAGCUGGGCCAGGUCCGACACUGAGGCGCGAAAGCGUGGGGAGCAAACAGGG
rnacentral:rRNA from 1 species